rnacentral:lncRNA from 1 species
AAAAGGGCCGGUGUGGUCUAAGUUCUCUGCAGGAGACCUUCAGGAAGGUGGUUGGGGCCAUCUGCCCUUUGCUCUGGGGAGCAUAGAGCUCUACUCACUGCAUGCUCUAUAGGGUGGGCAUAGAGAGAGAUCACGCCAAUGGGAGCUGUCCACUCAUGGUGUUUCUUGUGGAUUUUCUUGUAGAAUGUUGGGUGGUGAAGGAGCCUGGGGAAAUAGUUAAUAGUUAAUAACCUGCUGAUUCCUCUUUCUCCCUCCCCGACCAGACCAUGAGAAACCAAAAAUAGGAACUAGGGGUUACAUCCAUGGAGCAAAGUUAACAACACCAAGACCUGCCUUCAAAUUUCAACCCCAGCCCUUAUACUGCAUAGUUUGGGAGUGGGUUGCUUUGCUUCUCUAUGCCAGUUGUAUUCGCUGUAAAAUGGGAUGCUGCCCAGAAAGGACUGAAUAAGGAAAUGAAUGGGAAACUGCCCUGGCUCCCACACAAUCAGAGAGGCCUUUUCUCUUUUGGACAUUCAUUCCUCAGUUGUCCCAAGUUGUCAGUUAUGAGACAACUAGUGGUCUCCCUGUUAACUAUUUAAUGGGACACUUGAGGCCAGGGAGUAUUUUACUGGCCUACACUCAAUUCAGAAGCCUGUUCCCUUUUAUUUUUUUUCUUUGAGACAAGGUCUUGCUCUUUCGCCCAGGCUGGAGUGCAGUGGUGUGAUCACAGCUCACUAUAGCCUUGACCUCCCGGGCUCAUGUGAUCCUCCCACCUCAAUCUCCCAAGUAGCUGGGACUACAAGUACACACCACCAUGCCUGGCUAAUUUUUUAAAUUUUUUUGUAGAGACGGGGUCUCCUGACAUUCCCCAGGCUAGUCUCAAACUCCUGGGCUCAAGUGAUCCGCCCACCUCAGCCUCCCAAAUUGCCAGGAUUACAAGCGUGAGUCACUGCACCUGGCCUCAGUUUCCUUGUUGAUCAGUGAGCCCUAGACAGGAUGAGGAGCCAGCUGUGCCUCAGGCAGGGCCUGCUCACCGGUGUGAAUAGUAGAACAAGACUUCCUCGAUCAGCGUGAAGAUGGCCAGCUCCAGGAGGAACCAGUGGAAGCCAUUUAGCCCCUCUUCAUCAGAGAACCUUGUUCAUGAUUGGAUGCAGAGAUCAAGAUCAUCUGCCUCCUCAAGUGGUCCAGCCUCCCUGCAGUAGGCCCAGAGCAAAGAAGCAGGCUGGAAGUGCAGUUGUGUGAUCAUGGCUCACUGUAGCCUCGACCUGCCAAGCCGAAGUGAUCCUCUUGCUUCAGCCUCCUGAAUAGUUGGGGCUACCGGCACCUGCCACCAUGCCCAGCUAGGACUCGGCUUUGCUUAAUUCCAUGUCUGUGCCCCUCCACCAGCACCCUUCAUGCUCCAUCAACCGAAGUAACUGUGGCGGCUGGGACUUGGAAAAUACUUGCCAGCACUGUAGGGGAGUAGGAUUGGUACAAACCUUCUAGAGGGCAAUUUGGCAGUAACUGAAGUAAUAAAGUGAGAGAGUCAGAGAGCCAAGACAGAAAGGGAGAAAGAAGAAAAGGACACACGUCUGUUUGUAUGCAUAAAUGUCCGUCACAGCAUUAAAAAAAAAAUUUAAGCAGCCUAAAUACCCAUUAGUAGGGAAGGGACUAAACAGAUUAGAGUAUUUCCAUAUAAUGGAAUAGAAUGGGAAGCUUAGAGUAUUAAGUAAGGCUACAUUAAUAGGCAUGGAAAGAUACCUACAAUCUAUUCAAUGAAAAAAAGAUUUAAAAAUAGUUGGUAUCUCAUAAGUACAACUAUAUACCCAAUAUAUAAAAGAUGCACACUAAUAUAUAAACAGUGGUUAUUUCUUGAAGGUAAGACAGUGGGUGAUUUUCACACUUUCUAUGCUUAUUUGAAUUGCCUGAUUUUUAUUUUUAACAAUGAGCACAUAUUUACUUUUGUUUUUUUUUUUUUUUGAGACAGAGUCUUGCUCUGUCACCCAGGCUGGAGUGCAGUGGCGUGAGCUCAGCUCGCUGCAAGAUCUGCCUCCCGGGUUCACGCCAUUCUCCUGCCUCAGCCUCCUGAGUAGCUGGGACUACUGGCGCCCGCCACCGCGCCCGACUAAUUUUUUGUAUUUUUAGUAGAGACGGGGUUUCACCAUGGUCUCGAUCUCCUGACCUCAUGAUCCGCCUGCCUCGGCCUCCCAAAGUGCUGGGAUUACAGGCGUGAGCCACUGCGCCUGGCCCAUAUUUACUUUUAUACCCAGAAAAAAUAAACUAUUUUUUACUUUGGAAAAAAAAGGCUGAUGGUUACCCAGUGGGCCAUCCAAGGUGUCUACCUACUUGGAACUUCAAAGGCUGCCUGAGGAAUACAGAUGAAAAGCACACCGUAAGACGAUCUUAAACUUCUUCUAGCUCUAACACUUAAAAUUGGAAAUAUUUUCUCUCUCUCAUAUUGGCUUAUCACCAAGGUAAUAGGUAAUUUUCACAGGAUUGUACCUAACAUAUAUAAAAUAUUUGAGGUUUUUUUAGAUUGCAGGUUCAAGCUAAUAAAGUUUUUCUACCACCUUCUCCAUAUACAUAGGUAAUCUGCAUUGUUCAAUGACUGCUUAAGAU